CGGGAUGUAGCGCAGCCUGGUAGCGUACUAGCAUGGGGUGCUAGGGGUCGCUGGUUCGAAUCCAGUCAUCCCGACAA
rnacentral:tRNA from 2 species